rnacentral:rRNA from 1 species
GAUGAACGCUGGCGGCGUGCUUAACACAUGCAAGUCGAGCGGGCAAUUUAUCUAGCACUGAUUACUUCAAAUGGAAAUCAUAAGUGUAAUCAUGAAUUUCUACCUUUAAUAAAGAAAAAAGAAAUUCAUGUACGCAAAUAGUGAUAACACAUUUUAGUGAAGUGAUGAGUGCUGGAUAAAUUGCUAGCGGCGGACGGGUGCGUAACACGUGGGUAACCUGCCCCUAUCACUGGGGAUAACACACUGAAAAGUGUGCUAAUACCAGAUAAUAUAAGCUUUUGGCAUCAUUAGCUUAUCAAAGAAUUUCGGAUAGGGAUGGGCCCGCGUCUGAUUAGCUAGUUGGUGAGGUAACGGCUCACCAAGGCAACGAUCAGUAGCCGACCUGAGAGGGUGAUCGGCCACACUGGAACUGAGACACGGUCCAGACUCCUACGGGAGGCAGCAGUGGGGAAUAUUGCACAAU